AGAGGGGGGGAUCUUAGGACCUCUCGCUACAGGGGCGGCCGAUGGCAGAUUAGCUAGUUGGUGGGGUAAAGGCCUACCAAGGCGACGAUCUGUAGCUGGUCUGAGAGGACGACCAGCCACACUGGGACUGAGACACGGCCCAGACUCCUACGGGAGGCAGCAGUGGGGAAUUUUGGACAAUGGGCGCAAGCCUGAUCCAGCAAUGCCGCGUGUGUGAAGAAGGCCUUCGGGUUGUAAAGCACUUUUGUCCGGAAAGAAAACGUCGUGGUUAAUACCCGUGGCGGAUGACGGUACCGGAAGAAUAAGCACCGGCUAACUACGUGCCAGCAGCCGCGGUAAUACGUAGGGUGCAAGCGUUAAUCGGAAUUACUGGGCGUAAAGCGUGCGCAGGCGGUCCGCUAAGACAGAUGUGAAAUCCCCGGGCUUAACCUGGGAACUGCAUUUGUGACUGGCGGG
rnacentral:rRNA from 1 species